rnacentral:lncRNA from 1 species
AUGUCACAACCAACGAAAUCCAGCGUGGGAGGGGGGUCCCCCCGCCCCCCAGUUUCUAUCUGGCCGUGUGGGUCCUUGCACAACACCCCCGGCGGUCACAUCCUGGUGCCUGCGCUUCCCCCAGACGUGUUCAGCCUGCCCGAGAAUCCCCCCGCCCCAACAUGUAAAACGCGAAAACUUAGAUUGGCUGGUGCAGAGGGCAUCGCUGUCGGCAGAUUUCAGUAAGGUCUCAGAUUUGACCUACAGCCUCGGUAUUACCAAGUAUUUGAACCUGAAUCUGCAAAAUGUAAGCAUGUACUUAAUGAGCUGGCUCAUAUCCUUAGCUGGUGUCAAUUAGCAUAGCUCCAUUAACUUAAGUAGACCACUCGGAUGCAUAGGGUUAAGCAUAUGCAGGAUCAGACAACAAACAUGCAAAUAUGCAGUGAUUUGGUAGAUUUACCAGCAUUUUAUUAAUUCAUGAGGCUAAAUCUCAUUGGCAGAAUUUGUCAGUUUCUAAAGUUUGAUUUAUUUAUUUACCAUGAGCAUAUCCAUUCCUUAGAGGUGUUGUUCCAAUUAAGUACACUGAAGACGACCUAUGAUUUACUUAUUCUGAUUAUGCCAGAGUUCUUAAAUUAAGCUCAAAGCACAUAGUAUCAGUCAAAUUCAUUAUUCAGUCACCCAUGAUCUAAUGUUAAUACGAAAACAUGGUGUUCAGUAUAUUAUUUUAUUUGCCUAUGCCCUGGUUUUUUUUCGGUGAAAGUUUACUUAAUGAUUCUUUCAUAAAGAAAUUAGAUUUUUCUGAUAUUCUUUGAUUUAUAUUACUUAUGGUAAAAACAAAAGUCUAAUUUUUGACAAGUUGGGUAAUAGCAUGAUAGUUGAAUGUCCAACACUGGUAGGGUUAACAGGCAGAAGCACAAACGUCAGGGAGAGGUUUGAACCCUGGUACAAUGGGGCUACAUUCUUCCUGCUUUAACUGAAAGGCAAAUUUACAAUCGUCUACCUCAACUGUAAAAUUUCAGGCUGUAAACCAUACUCCAAGGUACUGAUCUUGCACCAAAUCAAAGGGACUUUUGGCUUUGAUUCCAAUGGUAGCAGGAGGGGGGCCCAGGAGGGACUAAAGUGUGGUUUCCAUCCCAAGCUGUCUGCAGCUUUCCAUACCUGUUAAUACCCCUUUGACUCAAUAUUCAAUACUGCAGCAGGAGAAAUGUUCUGCCACUGGUUCUCAGGACCCAUGAGUGAGAGGAGG